rnacentral:rRNA from 1 species
GGCUGUCGUCAGCUCGUGUCGUGAGAUGUUGGGUUAAGUCCCGCAACGAGCGCAACCCCCAUCGUCAGUUGCCAUCAUUCAGUUGGGCACUCUGGCGAAACCGCCGGCGCCAAGCCGGAGGAAGGCGGGGAUGACGUCAAGUCCUCAUGGCCCUUAUGGGCUGGGCUACACACGUGCUACAAUGGCGGUGACAGUGGGACGCGAAACCGCGAGGUGGAGCAAAUCCCCAAAAGCCGUCUCAGUUCGGAUUGCACUCUGCAACUCGAGUGCAUGAAGUUGGAAUCGCUAGUAAUC